rnacentral:misc_RNA from 1 species
CAACCUUCCAAGCCAAAGAAAAACCAAGCCUCCCAGAAAUGAAACUGGCACCAAUCCAACACGCAAAGCAAAGCAUAGCAGCCAAAGUUCCAGCUUUCUUAUCAAAGCACACAUAAAACACAGCAUAGAUUAGAGUGAAAAAGAAGCCAAAAUUCAGCGACAGUCCAUGACUACCACCAAACCCAAUUUGAGAUAUAUCGUAUAUCGAAGGUGUAAAGUAGAAGAGAAUAAGAGAAGUGAAGAAGAUUGGCCACACAAAUAAUGU